rnacentral:rRNA from 1 species
UACGGAGGGUGCGAGCGUUGUCCGGAUUUAUUGGGCGUAAGGGGCGCGUAGGCGGUUUCUUAAGUUUGAAGUGACAGUGGGUGGCUUAACUACCCAAGGCCUUUGAAAACUGGGGAACUUGAGGACCAGAGAGGGACAUAGAAUUCCGGGUGGAGUGGUGAAAUGCGUAGAUAUCCGGAGGAAUACCAAAGGCGAAGGCAGUGUCCUGGAGGGUUAACUGACGCUGAGGCGCGAAAGCUAGGGGAGCGAACAGG